CUUUCCCCCUCUUAAAAGCUACCUCUGCAUGUUGGCCACUCACAUGCCUCUGCUCCCUGCACUGCUCUGGGGGUGGGGGUUGCGGGGGGGAAGACAGGCCCUGCUGCAGACUCUCGUAGGUCCGGGCGAGCUCCUCCAACCUCUCCUCCAGCUCCCGGGCCCACUGCCUUAGCCGUUCAGCGGACUGUGCCUUUGCCCCCUC